AAAUAACCAUGUCCAAAUUAUAUUUGGAAAACUAACCCUCCUUUUGCCAUAUAGGUGUCAGGGUGAAGAUUUUCUUUGAAGACGGUAAAUCAUUCACCGGCUUUAGUAACCGCCUUUCUAAUUUUCCACAAAGGCGGUGAAUAAUUCACUUUCUAUAUUCUAUAUAUAAUCCUAACAACUAAAUAAAAAUUUUAACAAAUCACAUAUAAUCUUAACAACUUGAAAAUUCUAAUAAUUUAUCCAUACAAUUUCAUAUAAUCUUAACGGUCUAAAAAUCCUAAUAGUCUAUCCAUAUAAUUUCAUAUAAUAUAUCUUAACAGCCUGAAGAUCCUAAUAAUCUAUUUAUACAAUUUCAUAUAAUUUUAAAAUUCUAAUAAUCUAUCCAUACAAUUCUAAUAAUCAAAUAAAAAUUAUAAUAAUCCACAUAUAAUCCUAAAAAGAAAUAGAAGAAAGCGGUGAACGAUUCACUGCAUUUAAAAGAAAUUGGAGAAUGAUUCACCGCCGUUAAAAGACAUGGGAGUACGCGGUGAACCAUUCACCGCUUUUCGAAAAUAACCUCACGUGGUUCUUAUGUGGCGAAAAGAGGGUUAGUUUGUCAGAUAUAAAUUUGGCCGAAUUAUUUCACAAAUUAUAAAAUUUUUAGUAGGUUAUUUUAUAAAAAAUUCCCU
rnacentral:lncRNA from 1 species